rnacentral:rRNA from 1 species
UUUUAGAAUUUAAUUUAAAGUUUAACCUGCCCACUGAAAAAUUUUAAAUGGCCGCAGUAUUUUAACUGUGCAAAGGUAGCAUAAUCAUUAGUCUUUUAAUUGAAGGCUGGAAUGAAUGGUUGAAUGAAAUAUUAACUGUUUCAUAUAAAUUUAUAAUAGAAUUUUAUUUUUUAGUUAAAAAGCUAAAAUUUAAUUAAAAGACGAGAAGACCCUAUAAAUCUUUAUACUUAAAUAAUUUUAAUUAUUUAGAUAAAUUAAAUUAUAUUUAUUAUAAGUAUUUUAUUGGGGUGAUAUUAAAAUUUAAUAAACUUUUAAUUUAAAUUAAACAUAAAUUAAUGAGUAAUUGAUCCAUAAAUUAUGAUUAAAAAAUUAAGUUACUUUAGGGAUAACAGCGUAAUUUUUUUAGAGAGUUCAUAUUGAUAAAAA